UACGUAGGGUGCAAGCGUUGUCCGGAAUUAUUGGGCGUAAAGAGCUCGUAGGCGGUUUGUCGCGUCGGCUGUGAAAACUCGGGGCUCAACCCCGAGCCUGCAGUCGAUACGGGCAAACUAGAGUGCUGUAGGGGAGACUGGAAUUCCUGGUGUAGCGGUGAAAUGCGCAGAUAUCAGGAGGAACACCGAUGGCGAAGGCAGGUCUCUGGGCUGACACUGACGCUCAUGCACGAAAGCGUGGGGAGCAAACAGG
rnacentral:rRNA from 1 species